AGGAACUUGCCUGCGGGACUGGGAUAACAGCAGGAAACUGCUGAUAAUACCGGAUAAGGUCAUUAAGCUGCAUAGCUUAGUGAUGAAAGGAGACGCCUGCGGAGAGCCUUGCGUCCUAUUAGCUAGUUGGAGGGGUAACGGCCCACCAAGGCGAAGAUAGGUAGCCGGCCUGAGAGGGUGGACGGCCACAAGGGGACUGAGAUACGGCCCUUACUCCUACGGGAGGCAGCAGUGGGGAAUAUUGGACAAUGGGGGCAACCCUGAUCCAGCAAUUCUGUGUGCACGAAGACGGUUUUCGGAUUGUAAAGUGCUUUCAGCAGGGAAGAAGGAAGUGACGGUACCUGCAGAAGAAGCGACGGCUAAAUACGUGCCAGCAGCCGCGGUAAUACGUAUGUCGCGAGCGUUAUCCGGAAUUAUUGGGCAUAAAGGGCAUCUAGGCGGCCUUUCAAGUCAGGGGUGAAAACCUGCGGCUCAACCGCAGGCCUGCCUUUGAAACUGAUAGGCUGGAGUACCGGAGAGGUGGACGGAACUGCACGAGUAGAGGUGAAAUUCGUAGAUAUGUGCAGGAAUGCCGAUGAUGAAG
rnacentral:rRNA from 1 species